rnacentral:rRNA from 1 species
CCCUUCGGGGUGUGACUGCGUACCUUUUGUAUAAUGGGUCAGCGACUUAUAUUCUGUAGCAAGGUUAACCGUAUAGGGGAGCCGUAGGGAAACCGAGUCUUAACCGGGCGUUAAGUUGCAGGGUAUAGACCCGAAACCCGGUGAUCUAGCCAUGGGCAGGUUGAAGGUUGGGUAACACUAACUGGAGGACCGAACCGACUAAUGUUGAAAAAUUAGCGGAUGACCUGUGGCUGGGGGUGAAAGGCCAAUCAAACCGGGAGAUAGCUGGUUCUCCCCGAAAGCUAUUUAGGUAGCGCCUCGUGAAUUCAUCUCCGGGGGUAGAGCACUGUUUCGGCUAGGGGGCCAUCCCGGCUUACCAACCCGAUGCAAACUGCGAAUACCGGAGAAUGUUAUCACGGGAGACACACGGCGGGUGCUAACGUCCGUCGUGAAGAGGGAAACAACCCAGACCGCCAGCUAAGGUCCCAAAGUCAUGGUUAAGUGGGAAACGAUGUGGGAAGGCCCAGACAGCCAGGAUGUUGGCUUAGAAGCAGCCAUCAUUUAAAGAAAGCGUAAUAGCUCACUGGUCGAGUCGGCCUGCGCGGAAGAUGUAACGGGGCUAAACCAUGCACCGAAGCUGCGGCAGCGACACUGUGUGUUGUUGGGUAGGGGAGCGUUCUGUAAGCCUGUGAAGGUGGCCUGUGAGGGUUGCUGGAGGUAUCAGAAGUGCGAAUGCUGACAUAAGUAACGAUAAAGCGGGUGAAAAGCCCGCUCGCCGGAAGACCAAGGGUUCCUGUCCAACGUUAAUCGGGGCAGGGUGAGUCGACCCCUAAGGCGAGGCCGAAAGGCGUAGUCGAUGGGAAACGGGUUAAUAUUCC